GUCCACGCCGUAAACGAUGAGAACUAGACGUCGGAGGGGUCUGCUCUUCGGUGUCGCAGCUAACGCGAUAAGUUCUCCGCCUGGGGAGUACGGCCGCAAGGUUGAAACUCAAAGGAAUUGACGGGGGCCCCGCACAAGCGGUGGAGCAUGUGGUUUAAUUCGAUGCAACGCGAAGAACCUUACCUGGUCUUGACAUCCUCGGAACCUCGCAGAGAUGUGGGGGUGCCUUCGGGAACCGAGAGACAGGUGCUGCAUGGCUGUCGU
rnacentral:rRNA from 1 species